rfam:Methyloprofundus sedimenti strain WF1 Contig001, whole genome shotgun sequence.
CUGAAAUCAAAGCAAUUUGAUUUGAUCGUAUAACAGAAGUCAGCAGAAGACAUAGUAGGUGGUUCCUUCCUUGUACCACUGAAGGUC